CGUUCCCGGGCCUUGUACACACCGCCCGUCACACCACGAAAGUCGGCAAUACCCGAAGCCGGUGGCCUAACCCGCAAGGGAGGGAGCCGUCUAAGGUAGGGUCGAUGAUUGGGGUG
rnacentral:rRNA from 1 species